rnacentral:tRNA from 1 species
UUAAUUGAAACCAAAUUAGCGGUCUAUCACUGUUAAUGAUAAAAUUGAGAAUCCUCCAAUUAAA